rnacentral:rRNA from 1 species
GACGAACGCUGGCGGCGUGCUUAACACAUGCAAGUCGAACGGAAAGGCCCUGCUUUUGUGGGGUGCUCGAGUGGCGAACGGGUGAGUAACACGUGAGUAACCUGCCCUUGACUUUGGGAUAACUUCAGGAAACUGGGGCUAAUACCGGAUAGGAGCUCCUGCUGCAUGGUGGGGGUUGGAAAGUUUCGGCGGUUGGGGAUGGACUCGCGGCUUAUCAGCUUGUUGGUGGGGUAGUGGCUUACCAAGGCUUUGACGGGUAGCCGGCCUGAGAGGGUGACCGGCCACAUGGGGACUGAGAUACGGCCCAGACUCCUACGGGAGGCAGCAGUGGGGAAUAUUGCACAAUGGGCGGAAGCCUGAUGCAGCAACGCCGCAUGCGGGAUGACGGCCUUCGGGUUGUAAACCGCUUUCGCCUGUGACGAAGCGUGAGUGACGGUAAUGGGGAAAGAAGCACCGGCUAACACGUG